GCCCUUUCCGGUUGAUCCUGCCGGACCCCACCGCUAUCGGGAUGGGACUAAGCCAUGCGAGUCGUGCGGCCCGGUCAGCGGGCAGCGGCGUACGGCUCCGUAAUACGUGGUCAACCUACUCGGGGCACCGGGAUACCCGCUGGGAAACUGCGGCUAAUCCCGGAUGGGCGAGGAGGCUUGGAACACCUUCUCGUCGAAAGGCCGGGUUAACGAUGCUUAGCCCGGCGGCUCCGAAUGGGACCACGGCCGAUCAGGUUGUUGGUGAGGUAACGGCUCACCAAGCCUAAGACCGGUACGGGCCCUGAGAGGGGGAGCCCGGAGAUGGGGACUGAGACAAGGCCCCAGGCCCUACGGGGCGCAGCAGGUACGAAACUUUUGCAAUGCGCGAAAGCGUGACAAAGUCAUCCCGAGUGCCACCCGCUGAGGGCGGCUUUUCCACAGUCUAAAAAGCUGUGGGAAUAAGGGGAGGGUAAGUCGGGUGUCAGCCGCCGCGGUAAUACCCGCUCCCCGAGUGGUGGGGGCUUUUACUGAGCUUAAAGCGCCCGUAGCCGGUCAUGCGUGUCUCCAGUUAAAUCCAGCAGCCUAACUGCUGGGCCGCUGGAGAUACUGUAUGACUUGGAGGCGGGAGAGGCUACCGGUAGUCCCGGGGUAGGAGUGAAAUCCUCUGAUCCCGGGAGGACCUGCAGUGGCGAAGGCGGGUAGCCAGAACGCGCUCGACGGUGAGGGGCGAAAGCUGGGGGAGCGAACCGGAUUAGAUACCCGGGUAGUCCCAGCUGUAAACGAUGCGGGCUAGGUGUCGGUGCGGGUACGGCCUGCACCGGUGCCGCAGGGAAACCAUUAAGCCCGCCGCUUGGGGAGUACGGUCGCAAGACUGAAACUUAAAGGAAUUGGCGGGGGAGCACCACAAGGGGUGAAUGCUGCGGUUUAAUUGGAGUCAACGCCGGGAACCUUACCAGGGGCGACAGCUGGAUGAAGGCCAGUCUGAAGGGCUUGCCAGACUAGCUGAGAGGAGGUGCAUGGCCGUCGCCAGCUCGUGCCGUGAGGUGUCCUGUUAAGUCAGGUAACGAGCGAGACCUCCGCCUCCAGUUGCCACCGCUCCUCGAAAGGGGGCGAGCACUCUGGAGGGACUGCCACCGAUAAGGUGGAGGAAGGAGGAGGCAACGGCAGGUCAGUAUGCCCCGAAACCCCUGGGCCACACGCGGCAGAUAAUGGCGAGGGCAGAGGGCUCCGACCCCGAAAGGGGAAGGUAAUCCCUAAUCCUCGCCGUGGUUGGGAUCGAGGGCUGCAACUCGCCCUCGUGAACGUGGAAUCCCUAGUAAUCGCAUGUCACCAUCGUGCGGUGAAUACGUCCCUGCUCCUUGCACWCACCGCCCCGUCAA
rnacentral:rRNA from 1 species